UUUGGGUGAGAGGUUUUGUGCCUGACACAAACCCUUGACAAUUCCUUGCCGAGAUCCCAUCCAGCCCUGCCCUCGGGGUGAGGCUCCGAGGCUUUGGGGCUAAGGAACACCCCUGGAAUUGGGCAGGAUUGCCUUUGGAAUGACACAGAGCUCGCCAGGGAACCCCUCAGGCACUGAGGAUGCUGCAGAGAAGGAGAUUGGCCCCAAACCCUUUGGAAUCCUCUCAGGACGACUUCCAGCAGAGAUGCUCGCUCCCAGAAGAAGCACACGCUUAUUCCAGACUCACAGUGGUCACACUGUUGUGCCCCAGCCAACUUUCUCACGUAAACAGAGCGGUGCAAGA